GUCUUUUUUGGCACGCAUAGGCUUUAAAAUGUAUCACAUGAAAAAAUGUGCUUUUCUAAAAUCAAGCUCUUUUUAAAAAAUUUAAACUCAAUCUGAAAGUUUUUCAAAUGGGAUGAUUUGUUACAAAAACUAUCUUUUAUUUUUUAAAAACAAUAUGUGAAAGAAAGUGAUUAUAUGUUCUUUGAGAGAUUGGUUAUAGCUUUGAAUUUAAAAAAAAAAUUGAGAUUUAAUAAUGAAGUGGAAUUUUCUAAAAAAAAAAAUAAAAAAAAUCAUGGUUUCUUUCAAUCCUACCUAAUUUUCUAAACCAGUUUCUUUUACUUCAUUUUCUCUCUCUUUUUUCUGAAUACUAAAAUAUUUUACUUCAAGAUAAUUCAACUUUUUUUCUUUACUCUUCAAUUUCUCUAAACCAAUCAUGGUAACUCGAUCUUUAGUUUUUGAGUCUUGCUGAAAUGCCAAAGCAGCAAUCUUUUUGGACGUUUUGUUUGAUUGUGACCAAAUACUUAUAUUGUAUAUUUAUAACUAUGGUUGUACAGACUACCUCUGUAAAAGUCUACAAGUGUCAAUUGAACCUGUAUCAAGGUAUUGUUGAGACUGUAUUACAGUUAUUAUCUUGUUAUUUAGAUCACUAUGUAUAAUCUGUUUAUUAUGUGUGUAGAUAAAUAAAGUUAACUUGUUAAAAGU
rnacentral:sRNA from 1 species